rnacentral:rRNA from 1 species
CACAUGCAAGUCGAACGCAGAUUUUAAUCUGAGUGGCGGACGGGUGAGUAACACGUGAGAAUUCGCCUUUAGGCGGGGAAUAACCAUCAGAAAUGAUAGCUAAUGCCCCAUGUGCUCGAAAGAGUGAAAGGAGUAAUCCACCCAAAGAGAAGCUCGCGGCUGAUUAGCUAGUUGGUAAGGUAACGGCUUACCAAGGCGACGAUCAGUAGCUGGUUUGAGAGAACGAUCAGCCACACUGGAACUGAGACACGGUCCAGACUCCUACGGGAGGCAGCAGUGAGGAAUUUUCCGCAAUGGGCGAAAGCCUGACGGAGCAAUACCGCGUGAGGGAUGAAGGCCUUUGGGUUGUAAACCUCUUUUAUCAAGGAGGAAGUUCUGACGUGUACUUGAUGAAUAAGCAUCGGCUAACUCCGUGCCAGCAGCCGCGGUAAGACGGAGGAUGCAAGUGUUAUCCGGAAUCACUGGGCGUAAAGCGUCUGUAGGUGGUUUAAAAAGUCUACUGUUAAAAGUUGAAGCUUAACUUCAAAGAUGCCGUAGAAACUCUUAAACUUGAGUAUGGUAGGGGUAGAGGGAAUUUCCAGUGGAGCGGUGAAAUGCGUAGAUCUUGGAAAGACCACCAAUGGCGAAGGCACUCUACUGGGGCCAUUACUGACACUGAGAGACGAAAGCUAGGGGAGCAAAUGGGAUUAGAUACCCCAGUAGUCCUAGCUGUAAACGAUGGAUACUAGAUGUUGUGUGUAUCGACCCGA